GGCGGAGAGUAGAGAGCUAGACGGUGAGAAGCGCUGGGCCCGACUAGAACUGUCUUCGCUUUUCCCUCUGCGGCUGCUCUGGCUGGUUACUUUGAGCCUUCCUCCUCAGCGCCGCAGGAGAAACUCAACAGCAAAAAUGACUGUGUCCUGAGUUCAGCCCCCACUGCUCUGGGAGCUUCCCCCUGGUUUCUGCACCUGAAGAAUGUCUUCCCAGCCGAAGGUUCUUAGGAGCGGGGAGCGACAAAGAAAAACAAAGAAAAGCAGACCUGAAAAUUGGGACGUGGGAGAAAUAGACGAGUGCUCUAAACCAGUAUCAUGGCUCCAGUUCCUGACAAGGAUUCACAUGGGGUUGCCAUUCUGACUGUGCUGGUGACGCUGGUUCCAGGACCCUCAGGAACCCCUCCCCCAGUCUGGUCUGCCCUUGAACUCUGUACUGGCCCCGGGGUAUCCCAGGAUUGUCAGAAAGGCCUGGCCAGGAUUCACCUGGGAGAGGGAUCAGCAUCUCUGCAAAGUUGUUGGAUUGAAAGAACUUUCAUUUUGAGCUACAUCAUUGAAGAGCUUUAAAUCUGAAAAUAAGAAAGACGUUGAACCCUAUUACUCACAUCUCUUUGUCAUUUGAAGCAGAUCCCGAACCACUCAAAAGGACAAAACAAGGAAAUAAUAAUGAAAUUGGAUUCAGUGAAUGGGGUAAGGGUAUUAAGUGUCUGAAAUAUAAGAGAUAAAAAAAUUAGUUUUUACGUUUUUUUCUAUUUUCUAAAUGUUUUGGUGGCUAGAAUAAGAUAUACUUUGAACUCAAGAGCAAUAAAUGUUAAUAUAUUAAAAGUAGCUUUAUGAAAUAUGGAAAGUAUCUAUUUCAAAAUACUUCAAAGUAAUCAUCUGAAUAUUUAUCAGAAAUAUUAAGACAACUUAUUAAAUCCUGUAUUAAAAUGAUUGCUUAUUACUUUUUGUUUAUACUAGUCAGAAGUGAUUCUCUUCCACAUUUUAGAUUUUUCAGAGUAAAAAGGAUAUAAUUUUAGACUUUGAAUUGAAUAUAAACUGGGUUUUUCCACACAAUUUGUGGACAUGACUGUCUGAUGGUGACUCUUAGAUAUUUAUGCUAAAAAUGUUAUUUUGGGGAUCCUUGGGAAUGGACUCUGAUAUUUAUUUAUUUAUUUAUUUUUUUUUUUUUUUUUUUGAGGCG
rnacentral:antisense_RNA from 1 species